AACACACUGAGAAUACAUCAAUAUUACUUUGAUUUGGCAUGUAAUAUUAGUUUGGUACGGAGUAAAUAUCUUAAUUUGGCAUGCAACAUUAGUUUGGCAUGCUGUAAAUAUUUGAACUUCAUAAUAAUCAUCAAGGUAAUAUUAGAUGCACAAAAUCUAACAAAGCAAAUCAUAUUGUUCAGAGACAUACAUUCAUUCAAAAAUAUUUACAACUGAGGUAUUUCAUGCAUCA
rnacentral:lncRNA from 1 species